UGGGGAAUAUUGCACAAUGGGCGCAAGCCUGAUGCAGCCAUGCCGCGUGUAUGAAGAAGGCCUUCGGGUUGUAAAGUACUUUCAGCGGGGAGGAAGGGAGUAAAGUUAAUACCUUUGCUCAUUGACGUUACCCGCAGAAGAAGCACCGGCUAACUCCGUGCCAGCAGCCGCGGUAAUACGGAGGGUGCAAGCGUUAAUCGGAAUUACUGGGCGUAAAGCGCACGCAGGCGGUUUGUUAAGUCAGAUGUGAAAUCCCCGGGCUCAACCUGGGGACUGCAUCUGUGACUGGCAAGCGUGAGUCUCGUCGAGGGGGGUAGAAUUCCCGGUGUAGCGGUGAAAUGCGUAGAGAUCUGGAGGAAUACCGGUGGCGAAGGCGGCCCCCUGGACGAAGACUGACGCUCAGGUGCGAAAGCGUGGGGAGCAAACAGG
rnacentral:rRNA from 1 species